GACGAACGCUGGCGGCGUGCUUAACACAUGCAAGUCGAGCGGUAAGGCCCUUUCGGGGGUACGACGAGCGGCGAACGGGUAGAGUAACACGUGGGUGACCUCGCCCUUACGCUCUGGGAGUAAGCCUGGGAAACGUGGGUCUAAUACCGGAUAUGACUCCAUGACGCAUGUUGUGGGGUGGAAAGCCUUGUGCGGCUAGGGAGUGGGCCCGCGGCCUAUCAGCUUGUUGGUGGGGUGAUGGCCACCAAGGCGACGACGGGUAGCCGGCCUGAGAGGGC
rnacentral:rRNA from 1 species